AAUCAUAUCAAAACAAAGUUGGUAUCCGUUCGUUGCUUUUCUUUUCUCUGUAUUUUAUCGUUUGUUUUAACUUGCUAUUAGUUUAAAAUGCCAUUCAAGGUAGUUCAGACAAUCGAAAAAGGCGAAACCUGUUUUACUGUUGUGCCCGCGAGAUGGGAACAAAACGGUGUUUUGUUGUGGCCGAAAAAGAGUGCCGUGGCAAAACUGUUGCACGACGAGAAUUCUGUUCCUGCUACAAACUGGGAACGGAUUAAUUGUGUCAACAAACGAGUCUUCAAUGAUCGCGAAGCAGCGGAAGAAGAAAUACGAAAAAUGGAAUCUGCAUCGGACACAGAAGCAGACGAAAAUUUGGUUUUCAUUCCCCCUACUCGAGUAAAUAGACCGCGACUUCAGCAAACAAACAUCUUAGGAGAUGUUAGCGUACUGAAAGAUUUCAAUCGAUCAAUUGAACGGCUGGAUAACGACAAGUAGGAGCAAGCAAUCUACAGAGACAAUGAUCUGAACCCUUCAUUUGAACCUGAGCCGGACACCGUGCUGUUGCUGACUGAAGAAGCAGAUGCGGACAAUGGAGACUCAAUUGUAAUCAUCCCACAGGAAAUCGAUGCAGGAAACGAUGAUCGUGCCAACAAUGUUUUGGACACCAUCUUAUUAAAUCUCACUAGCAUUCGUAACGAACAAAUGAAAAUAGUACAGUGCAUUGCAACGAUGCAAACCAGUAUUGAAUACCUUGCACAAGCUGUUUUGAAUAAUAGACCGUCCGCUUACCCUCUCUGCUAAGCGCACUAAUGUGUUUUCAAAGCCUAUUAACACUGCAUCAGAGCUUACCGAACCGGAGGAGAAUUUGAAAGACGAUGCUAUAUUUGGUGAAAUUGUUUCAAACAUGAGCUUCAUCUGCGGUUCAAAUGGAAAGUCAAAUGGUGUUGAUUACUGUUACAAACUGAUUGAUUGUUUCAUGACGCGAGAGUUUCUAACAGAAUGUUCAUGGACCGGAAAUAGCCGCGGUGCAGAUGAAAAUAGAUCGCAUAGCGCAGAGGGAUCGGAAUGUACCAGUAAGGUACCCCUGAAAUUCUACAAGAACUUCCGUGCUUUGUUUUUGAAAUUGAUUUUGCUCGCUGACAAAGACUUUACUGAGGUGAACUGUGAAGAAUUCUUCAAGAGAGUGAUAAAAAACAGUAAGCAAAGAUUGGGAGUUAAAAAUUUAUCCAAGCAUAAGAACCGGCCAAAAAACCUUAAAUAUGUUGUCCAAAAGGAUAACACGAAGACAAAUGAAAUUGCUUGAUGCAACAAUGUUUAAUAUGUUAUUUUCUCAUUAUUUUUGUUACAAUUCUGCAUUCAUUUUAUGUUUAGUUUAUUUUCUUCUGAAAUGUGACAAACAAUAGCUUAAUGUUAUUGCAAAGUAUGAAGUAGUGGAAUAAAAACAGCUUCGCCCUCUUCGUUAUAGGGUAUCAAUACCAUUUUACAUUUAA